rnacentral:rRNA from 1 species
GACGAACGCUGGCGGCGUGCCUAAUACAUGCAAGUCGAACGCAGUGGGGACGGGUGAGUAACCCGUGGGUAACCUCCCAUCAGAGGGGAUAACACUUGGAAACAGGUGCUAAACCGAUACUGAUGGAUGGACCCGCGGUGCAUUAGCUAGUUGGUGAGGUAACGGCGCACCAAGGCCACGAUGCAGAGACGAACGGAGAGGGUGAUCGGCCACACUGGGACUGAGACACGGCCCAGACUCCUACGUGAGGCAGCAGUAGGGAAGAUGCGGCAAUGGACGAAAGUCUGACCGAGCAACGCCGCGGGAGUGAAGAAGGUUUGCGGAUCGUAAAACUCUGUUGUUAGAGAGGCGGUAUCUAACCAGAAAGCCACGGCUAACUACGUGCCAGCAGCCGCGGUAAUUC